rnacentral:lncRNA from 1 species
UGCCGGUCACAAUGUUAAGCUGGGAAGUGGGAAAGGAAUGACCAAUUCCCACAGCCAAUGGCCCAAGUCCGAUUGUCCCACCAAUCCCACUCUUGUUGAGAAUUUUCACCUCUCAAACCAGGACAAGGAGUUUGCCUCCCUCCGCCGGUCACGCCUGCAACUGCGCCCACCCCCAUCCAAAAGCUAACCAGCAAACAAAUAGAAG